rnacentral:rRNA from 1 species
GCCUAUGGCCAUACCACCCUGAACAGGCCCGAUCUUGUCUGAUCUCGGAAGCUAAGCAGGGUUGGGCAUGGUUAGUACUUGGAUGAAAGAAAAUUAAGACUGAACUUCAGAUUUGGUAUUCAAAAACCUUAUGUU